UAAAUAAAUAAAAUAUUUUUAAAAAAUUGGAAUGAUGCAGAAGAGAUUAGCACGGCUCCUGCAUGAAGGUGACACACAAAUUCGUGAAGCGUUCCCUAUUUUU